rnacentral:rRNA from 1 species
GAUGAACUGUGGGUAGCGGAGAAAUUCCAAUCGAACCCGGAGAUAGCUGGUUCUCCCCGAAAUAGUUUUAGGACUAGCCUCAAGUUAGAUAUCUGGAGGUAAAGCACUGAAUAGCCUAGCGGCCGAGAGGUUAGCGAAGCUUAUCAAACUCAGAAUGCCAGAAUAUUGAUGCUUGGGAGUCAGACAGUGUCAGAUAAAUGUCAUUGUCAAAAGGGAAACAGCCCAGAUCUACAGCUAAGGUCCCAAAGUUAGGUUAAGUGGAAAACGAUGUGAAGAUACGCAGACAACCAGGAUGUUGGCUCAGAAGCAGCCACUCAUUCAAAGAGUGCGUAAUAGCUCACUGGUCGAGCGUCUUUGCGCGGAGAAUUUAACGGGGCUAAACCUGACACCGAAGCUUAGGCAAUACAGCAAUGUAUUGGGUAGGGGAGCGUUGUAUACGCGGUGAAACAGUAGCGCAAGCGGCUGUGGAGUGUAUAGAAGUGAGAAUGCCGGAAUGAGUAGCGCGAAUGCAGUGAGAAUCUGCAUGGCCGAAAGCCUCAGGUUUUUGGAGGAAGGUUCGUCCGCUCCAAGUUAGUCGGGAGCUAAGGUGAGGCCGAGAGGCGUAGCCGAUGCACAGACGGUAGAGAUUCCGUCACCACCGAAAGAGUUAAGCACAGGGACACAUUUGAAGUCUCAGAGCCGGGUGUUGGUUCCGGUAGAGAUCGAGGGAAGUUAGUACCGAAGUCUGGGAUGGAAGAUGGCGAGAAAAGCUGUGUGGAUUUCUGAGGUGCCCGUACCGCAAACCGACACAGGUAGGUAGGAAGAAGAUUCUAAGGCCAACGGGAGAAGGGUUGUUAAGGAACUCGGCAAAUUGACCCCGUAACUUCGGGAGAAGGGGUGCUCCAGAGAUGGAGCCGCAGAGAAUCGGCCCAAGCAACUGUUUACCAAAAACACAGGUUUGUGCUAAAUCGAAAGAUGACGUAUACGAGCUGACGCCUGCCCGGUGCUGGAAGGUUAAGAGGAGAUGUGCAAGCAUUGAAUCGAAGCCCCAGUGAACGGCGGCCGUAACUAUAACGGUCCUAAGGUAGCGAAAUUCCUUGUCAGGUAAGUUCUGACCCGCAUGAAAGGCGUAAUGAUUUGGGCACUGUCUCAACAGCCCGCCCGGCGAAAUUGUAGUACCGGUGAAGAUGCCGGUUACCCGCGACAAGACGGAAAGACCCCAUGGAGCUUUACUGUAGCCUAAUAUUGGGUUUCGAUGUUGCAUGCACAGGAUAGAUGGGACUCUGGGAAACCAGUGCUUUGGCGCUGGCGGAGAGGCCGUUGGGAUACCAUCCUUGCGAUAUUGGAAUUCUAACCUGCGGCUCUGAAUCGAGUCGGGGGACAUUGUUAGGUGGGCAGUUUGACUGGGGCGGUCGCCUCCUAAAAAGUAACGGAGGCGUUCAAAGGUUCGCUCAGCUUGAACGGAAAUCAAGCAAAAGAGUGCAAACGCAGAAGCGAGCCUAACUGCGAGACUGACGGGUCGAGCAGUAACGAAAGUUGGAGUUAGUGAUCCGGUGGUAUGUGAGUGGAAAUGCCAUCGCUCAACGGAUAAAAGUUACCCUGGGGAUAACAGGCUGAUCUCCCCCAAGAGUCCACAUCGACGGGGAGGUUUGGCACCUCGAUGUCGGCUCAUC